GCCAGUAGGGAACAGCCCGGCGAAAGUCGGAUUAAUGCCCUAUGUUCCUCAAUGCGGACAUCUAAGUUGAAGGAAAGAUUCAUCGCUGGCAGAUGGGGAUGCGUCCGAUUAGCUUGCCGGCGGGGUAACGGCCCACCGGGGCGACGAUCGGUAGGGGUUCUGAGAGGAAGGUCCCCCACACUGGUACUGAGACACGGACCAGACUCCUACGGGAGGCAGCAGUGAGGAAUAUUGGUCAAUGGGCGUAAGCCUGAACCAGCCAAGUAGCGUGCAAGGGAUGACGGCCCUACGGGUUGUAAAACUGCUUUUAUGCGGGGAUAAAGUGCGGCACGUGUGCCGCUUUGCAGGUACCGCAUGAAUAAGGACCGGCUAAUUCCGUGCCAGCCGCAGC
rnacentral:rRNA from 1 species